GGGUACAUAACAUCAGCAGACUGUAAAUCUGCCCUCCUUUAUCAAAUUGAUGUAAUGGACUUUGGAGUAGGGGAGUUCGAGUCUCUCUGUGCCCA
rnacentral:tRNA from 1 species